rnacentral:rRNA from 1 species
CGCGUAGGCGGCUUAGCAAGCUAGAUGUGAAAGCCCCGGGCUUAACUCGGGAAUUGCAUCUGAAACUGCUUUGCUUGAGUCCUGGAGGGGGUAGUGGAAUUCCCAGUGUAGCGGUGAAAUGCGUAGAUAUUGGGAGGAACACCUGCGGCGAAGGCGGCUACCUGGACAGUGACUGACGCUGAUGCGCGAAAGCUAGGGGAGCGAACGGGAUUAGAUACCCCGGUAGUCCUAGCCGUAAACGAUGGGCACUUGGUGUUGGGGGUAUUGAGUCCCCCGGUGCCGGAGUUAACACGUUAAGUGCCCCGCCUGGGGAGUACGGUCGCAAGACUGAA